rnacentral:rRNA from 1 species
AUGGCUGAGAUGGCCAAGGGCGCGGUGGACUCGUUGCUGGGCACCAUAGGCGCGGCGAUCGGCGAGAGGGCAGCGCUGAUGGGAAGCGUCCGGCGCGACAUGCGGUUCAUCAAGGGCGAGAUGGAGAGCAUGAACGGCUUCCUGCUGGACGUGGACGACCCCGCGGAGCAGAGCAACCAGGUGCAGGCGUGGAUGAGGCAGGUCCGGGACCUGGCCUACGACUCCCAGAGCUGCAUCGACCGCUACGUGCAGACCGUCGGCGCCGGCCACUCCUCGGCGGGCCUCCUGGGCUCCAUCGGCCGGGCGCCGCAGGUGUUGCGCACCCUGCCGGACCGCUACCGCAUCGCCAUGCAGAUCAAGGAGAUAAAGUCCAGGGCGCAGGAGGUCGGGGAGCGCCGGCAGCGGUACGGCGUCCAGGCGCUGGCGACGACGGCGCGUUGCGGUAGAGGUGGCGCCAAGGUGGCGGAGGAGGACGCGGCGGCGGCAGGGAGGCGCCGCCGUGUCCUCGCCGAUGCCGAGAACUUGCUGGACGCCGACGCGCGGGAGGUGGUGGCUUGGGUGACCAGAGGCGGGCGCCAUGAUGCUAACCAUCGUGCAUCGCCGCUCUCGAAAUCUGCUGGCAAAUUCGUCCGCGCCUUGUUCUCCAUGACCAUGUUCACCAACACGGCGGACGUGGAGUCGGAGCUGGCCACGGCGGCAAGGGAGGUGCUAGGCGACGGAGACCCCGAGAACAUAGAGGACGCCGCCGCCAUCCUGAGCAAGCAAGGGACAGAGAUCACGGACAAGGAGAUAAGCGCAGUGAUCGCCGCCGUCAAGGAGCUACUGGGAUUUCGCCGAGACCCAGCAAAGUCGUCACCAGCACCAGGUGUCGGCGGCCCUGACGAGCACAAGCCUGGGACAAGCGAGAAAAAACAAGCGUUCACUGACGCGCUAGAGAGUCUCAAGGUGGCAAAUACCCCGACGGACGUGGCCCUGGCGGAGAAGCUGUACUCAGACCAGCUGAAAGAGUGGCUGAGAAAAUUAUUCGACAAUGAACUUAUUGAAGAACUGGUGCUGGGUGGCUGGUUGCACAGUGCUGUCAAGCAAGCACAGGAGAAUAAGUAUAUUGAAAUGGCCAUAGAGCGGGCACCUGACGCCCUUCACUCUAUCGUACAAGCGGUGAAGAAAGUCGUGGGCGAGGGCGAUGGCUCGGCACAGGAGGCGCCGGAAAAGCCUGGUGACACCGACCAUGUCCAAGACAAAUCACCGAGCAAUGACUCGGUGUCGGUGCAACAAAAAUCCGUCCCCACUAGUAAGACUGUUGAUGAUAGGUCAGUAAUGGAAGAAAUUAAGAUGGCAGCACAAGACGUCGGGAAGGCAGCAAUAGAGGCUAUCGGUGACGGGAAGACAGCAAUAGAGUCAGCAAUAAAGACUGCGGCAUCAAUAUCCGACAACUCCAUUAUUAAACCCCUCGCUCACUCUAUUGAAAACAUUGAAUCCCGGGUUGCCUGGUUCCAAGAACUGGUUGACCACGGCGGCGGGCGACGUGAUGGAGGGCGGCCUAGGCUCCUCGCCAUUGUAACACCAGCAGCUGAUGCCCACUACCCAGAAGAAGGCGGUGACCGCCCGGCGACCAAGCUUGCUAGGAGUGUGUACGAGAUGUGCAAGGGUGACCAUCAUUUCGACCGCGUGGCUUGGAUCGACGCCAAGUGCAAUGCAAACAAAACGCAGAGGCUCCGGUGCUUAUUACAACAGUUGCAGCUGCAAUCCUUGUUGGUCGGUGAAGAUGUGAGCACAUUGAGUGGUCAGCAACUGGCGACAGAGAUCCGGAACCAACUGCAAGGUAAAAAGUUUUUGAUUGUCAUGGCUGAUCCUCCUGGGGAUGAGGAUGAGGCACCAUGGGCAGACAUAGCAUCUGCCCUACCACCAUGGGAUUCUCAUUCUCAUUGCAGUGGCAGCACAAUCAUAGUCACUCCAAUGGUACAACAACCAGUUCAAUUCCACGGGUGGUACCUAGCCAGUUGGCUCUUUUUGCUCAAGGCCUCUCGCUACAAGGUGCACUUCUAUUCACACCUUGAAGCUACCAGCAAGAAAGCCAAUGAGUUGUUGGUGGGCGGCCACGACAGUCGAGAGCUACAGAGCAUUGUCAAGAGAAUACUGCAAAAGUGUCGCCGAGACAAGUUCUCCACCACCAUGUUCCUCCAUGCUCUGUAUGCUAAUCCUCGCAGAAGCGAGAUUGAGUUCUUGGCACUGCUGAAUCAACUACAAGAUGUCGGCAGUACGGCGAGGAUGGCUCAGGAAAUCGUAAGGUUCUGCCACAGCGAUCUGUCCAUCCACUGCAAGACCUACUUGCACGACCUAGCCAUGUUCCAGAAGAACUCUAGUUGCAAGAUUAGGAGGGGUAGCUCAAUAAGGCGAUGGUCUGCUCAAAACCUCAUCAGCAACAGAAGGCAAGCAUUGGAUGAAGCCGAGCAUGGUCUCAAUGCGCUGGUUAAUCGAGGCCUUGUUCGUCUCAAAGAUCCUAGUCCUGCAGGCAAAGCGAAGAAUUGCGAGCUACCUCCUCAAGUUUUGACCUUUGUUGAAACGAAUACAUCCUCUGAGGACAAUAUUGGCAACAAAGAUCUGCUACCUGAGUUGGUUCCCCGCCUUUCCAUUCGCAAUAAAUUGCAACUGCAGCAACUCUCCGAUGGGCAACAGGCCACACAUUUGAGCUUGUGCCGAAGAAUGCUCAAGUGUACCACUCCAGCAGACGCAGAAGAUUCUAAAGAUCCCUCGUCGGUAAUAUCAUUUCUUAACUCGUUGUCUGCAUAUUCUCAACUAGGAUUGAUCAUGGUUCUAGACCUGGAAGGCUGUCCUGGACUGAACAUGGACAACCUCAAGAACAUUUGCAACAAGAAGUUUCAGCUCAAGUAUCUGAGUCUAAGGAAGACGGAAGUUCACGAGCUACCCAAGGAGAUCAGCAAGCUCCAGGGGUUGGAGACACUUGACAUCAGGGAAACCUAUAUAAAGUCAUUCCCAGAAGAUGUGGUUCUCCAGAAGCUAAUGCAUCUGCUUGCUGGUCAUAUAAGGUCUGACGAAUCACUUUGCACUAUUCAUAUUCCUCCUGCAAUUGGGAGCAUGACAAACAUACAAGUACUGUCCCAUGUUGAAGCUUCUCAUUUUGCUGAUGUGAAUGAAUUUCAAGAUGUUGGCCUGCUGACGCAGUUGAGGAAAUUUGGAGUAGUCAUCCCUUGCAACAACCCUGAAGCUAUGGACAGUUUGCUUAAAGAAAUUGGGAAGCUAGAUGAAUGCCUAACCUCUCUGUCGGUUCAUAUUAAACAAGAAGAGGGCGCACAUGUCCCUGCACCUGCAGUUGACAUGAACAAAACGGUAAUCUCACAUCCUAGGUCUCUUGAAAGCCUUAACAUCACUGGCAAGAUAUCAGGGCUGCCUACUUGGAUCAAAAAGCUCCAUCGACUCACCAAGAUAACUCUGUGUCGUACAUUCUUGCUUGCUAGUCAGAUAGGCAUCCUGGGUAAGCUUAUGAACUUGCGCAUUGUUGUGCUCAGGCCCGACUCGUGUGUUGACCGCUAUCUUACUUUCAAGGGGAAAGAAUUCACACAGCUUGAGCUUCUUGUCAUCGAGGUUGAGGGGUUACAAAUCAUCAAGAUCAGUUUUGAUCCACCUGUAGCUCCCAAGCUUGAGAAGAUUGUUUGGACUUCUACUUCCACCACCAGCAAGGAAGAUACUUCAUCUGAUAAACCAAACAUGGCAGAUAUGUCUGGGAUUGACAAACUCCCAAGCCUGAGACACAUAGAGUUGAGCAGCUUCGACAUGGAUAGAUGCAGCUUCAACAUUAGAAGCAUCAACCAACAAAUGUGCAAAAAUCCAAACAAUCCUAAACUUAAACCGGAGGAGCUAAUCCCUAAAGAUGUUGUUGUUGUUGCUGCUGCCGCCGCCGCUGCAAGCCUCAUUCCUGAUCCGCGGUAA